UUGCCUUGACAACACGUGCACUAAAGUUGGAAAUACGUAGAUAGGAUUAGCAUGACUCCUGCAUAAGAAUGACACACAAUUUGGCAAGUAUUCCUUAUUAUU